UACGUAGGGGGCUAGCGUUGCUCGGAAUCACUGGGCGUAAAGCGCACGUAGGCGGAUCGAUCAGUCAGGGGUGAAAUCCCAGAGCUCAACUCUGGAACUGCCUUUGAUACUGUCGAUCUGGAGUAUGGAAGAGGUGAGUGGAAUUCCGAGUGUAGAGGUGAAAAUUCGUAGAUAUUCGGAGGAACACCAGUGGCGAAGGCGGCUCACUGGUCCAUUACUGACGCUUGAGGUGCGAAAGCGUGGGGGAGCAAAACAGG
rnacentral:rRNA from 1 species